GGUAUACUGGUUGUCUUUCAAGAAUGGCUUGGGACCACUUUGCCAAGAACAGGCAUGCAGAGAGAGCCAGUCAGUCUACUCUGUGACCUUUUUAACAUCAUAAGCUCAAAAUCUUCCAUCCAGGAUGUGGAGAUCACCCUUGGGGCAGGGCAACAGGGCCUGUGAAGAGGCCUGAUGCCAUCCCAUGUCCUUUUUCUCUGAAUGGGUGGGGGUCCUCCAGGGUAGUCCUCAUCCCUCAAAUUUCAAGUCUCUAUAAGACUUCGUGCUUCCUUUCCCACUGAGGCCUGAGAAGGCAGCCUAGCUAGAAGAACAUACCCUGCAUACAGGCAGCAGCUUUUAGAAUAGCCCCUAUCACUAUCACUCAGGAACCACAUGAAGACCAAGCUACACAUCUGCUAUAUAUGUGCAGGGAGGCCUAGGGCCAGCCUGUGUAUGUUUUUUGGUUUGUGGUUCAGACCCUGAGAGCCCCAAGGGUCCAGGUUAGUUGAUGCUGGUGGUCUUCCUGUGGAGUUCUGAUCCCCUUAGGGGCUGCAAUCCUUCCUCCUAUUCUUCUGUAAGAGUCCCCAAGCUCCAUCCACUGUUUGGUUGUGGAUGUUUGCAUCUGUCUGAUCCACAGCUGUUGGAGCCUCUCAGAGGACAUGAUAGACUCCUGUCUGCAAGCAUAACAGAGACAACUUAUUGCAAGUCCUUGUUUGGCAUUGAGAGGACCCUAGUAUUUGGAAAAGUCAGUCCAAGAAGCAGGAACUCGGGUUCAGGGUGACUGACUGACAAGACCGAAGCCCUGCCGAGCAUGUGGCUUUGGGGUGUGUCUACCUAAGCUACCUCCCUUCCUCCUGGGUACCAUGCAGGGUGCCAUGUCUAGUCUCUGCUGUCAUGGACACCCUGUGAUCCUGUGUUCUCUACAGACCGGGAGCAAAUGAUCUCUCUUUCCUCCCUCUUUUCCAGACUGAUGGAAGGGCCGAGACACAGAAAGUGCUUCUCAGAAGGCAGCUCAAUAUGGCGGCUGGUGUUACUCCUACAAAUGCACCUCCUUGUAUCCUGAAGCCUUGGAGGCCAUUGUCACAGUUCAGGACAGUGAUCCAUCCCUUCCCAAAUCAGCCAGAAUUAAAUGGCCUGAAAUCUUCGAGGCCCCAGGAACAUACACUUCUAGAUCAGCACUUACUUCUCUUCUUUUAACACAGCUUCUCAUGUCUUUGACCACACAGGCCAUCCCUGUCAGGGGUAGAUCCUGAGCUCAGGGAUUGAGCUCUGGGAAGCACUGGCCUCUCUGUCAUAAUUGCUCCUCCUCUCUGGGAACACAGACCCAUGCAUCAACCCCCACUUUGCAGUAGCAGGCUUGAGUCCUAUAAUUAUAAGCAUGAUGAAGUCUGUCUCAGCUGGAGCCAGAUGGGAACUAUGCUAUGAAAGCCCCUAAUUACACAUCUCUGCAAGGAGAACCAGAUCUUACCAAGGACUCUGGAUGAAUAAGCACGAAGGAAAACACUACCUUGCCUGCACAGGGAUGUUCUAGCUAGGGCUGGAAAACAGGAGCUUGUGCCCUAGUGACCAGCUGUCCACUGAACCACCUCAGGACAGAUGACAGAGGGGAGAGGCAGGAGACAUCCGUUCUCUUUUCCUUCCUCUGCUACCUGCCUCCCACAGCCUCCACAGGUCCUGCUUCAUUAGCACACUGACUGAAGUUUCAGGGAAAGCUGACUCCUGCAAGCACCUUGAAACCACAGGGACAUGGGGGCACUUGACAUUUUCCCCAGUGGCACUGCUGUAGCUGGGCUGUUCUCAUCAAGAGAAGGAGACCAGGACGAGCCUCACAGACUGAGCCUUUCGCAGGCCCUCAUGGAGACAAGCCUGGGGUCACGCUAAGCUGAGUUUAUAAAGGUUUCCGUGUCAGAACAUUUGAUCCCCCUUCUGGUGGCACUGUUUCGAAAGCUUAUGAAAUCUUUGGGAGGCGAGGCCCGGCUGGAGGAAGUGGGUGGAGUUUUAUAGACCAGCUUCCUGUUACUCUCUGCUUCCUGACUGAGGAUGAGACCAGCUGUCGACGCUAUGGUUCGGUCAUCAUGGUGGCUGGUAGCAGCAGGGAAAAGUCUCUAAGACAGCUCCUUAGAGAGGAGCGUCUCCAGCCAGAUGAGAAGGAAAAGUCACAUUCAUGGUACCACCUGCGGUCACAGCAGAAGCACUAAGACCAACCAGGCCCUGGUUCCUACUGCCACACCAUGGAAACCCCCAAGCUGGAGCCCGUGAGUUUGUUCAGGGCCUUGGGAGAACCGAGGGGAAGAUGUCGAGCAUCUGGGCUGCCGGCCAUACCCCAAAGGUUGCAGAAGCAAGGCACAGGGAGUGCUCAGUGUCUGAGAUUCCUGUUGGGCCGGUUGAGCUUGUCACCUGCCACCUCCUCCUCACCCCAGUCUCUCCAAGGAUCAAGGUCAUCCCAAGAAUGAGAAACUUGACUCAGAACCCCACUGGGUGUUUUGGCCUGCGGAGAUCAGCUCGGCCAUGCCUCCAGGAAGUCAGCAGUCAGAGGGCACCCAGAAGACAUCUUUCUGGCAUCUGCUGGAACUGGAUAGGUGAUUUACUGCCAUAUCAGCACCAAUGUGGCCAGGUGUGCCUUGACAGUGAGGUCACGCCUGGCUUUGUGUUCAAUGCACACAAACUUCCUACAAGUGGUUUCCUCCUGGCCACGCCUCUCUCUCCCUGUCACAGCUCACACUGGAGCCUGUGGGAUGCCCUGCCCUCAAAGCCCAUGACAUACUGUCCUUGGGAAGUUUGCCGUUCUAAUCUUUAUUUGUCUAGAUGUGUCCACACGAAACCAUAGCUCUCAUCUUAACGGAAAUAAGAGUUUACUCAGGGGUCAUUUUGAGUGGCUAUGGGUCCCAGGAACACAGAUUGAAGUCACCCCAAAUUCCAUGUCCCAGUGAGGAAGCAGUUUCAAAGAUUUACAGAACGAAGUCAUAA